rnacentral:rRNA from 1 species
UACGUAGGGUGCGAGCGUUGCCCGGAUUUAUUGGGCGUAAAGGGCGCGUAGGCGGCCACGCACGUCCGUUGUGAAAUCGCCCGGCUCAACUGGGCGGGGUCGGCGGAUACGGCGUGGCUGGAGCAAGCUAGGGGGCAAUGGAAUUCCCGGUGUAGUGGUGGAAUGCGUAGAUAUCGGGAGGAACACCAGUGGCGAAGGCGGUUGCCUGGAGCUUUGCUGACGCUGAGGCGCGAAAGCGUGGGGAGCGAACCGG